AUUGAACGCUGGCGGCAGGCUUAACACGUGCAAGUCGAGCGGAGAUGAGGUGCUUGCACCUUAUCUUAGCGGCGGACGGGUGAGUAAUGCUUAGGAAUCUGCCUAUUAGUGGGGGACAACAUUCCGAAAGGAGUGCUAAUACCGCAUACGUCCUACGGGCGAAAGCAGGGGAUCUUCGGACCUUGCGCUAAUGGAUGAGCCUAAGUCGGAUUAGCUAGUUGGUGGGGUAAAGGCCUACCAAGGCGACGAUCUGUAGCGGGUCUGAGAGGAUGAUCCGCCACACUGGGACUGAGACACGGCCCAGACUCCUACGGGAGGCAGCAGUGGGGAAUAUUGGACAAUGGGCGGAAGCCUGAUCCAGCCAUGCCGCGUGUGUGAAGAAGGCCUUUUGGUUGUAAAGCACUUUAAGCGAGGAGGAGGCUACCUAGAUUAAUACUCUGGGAUAGUGGACGUUACUCGCAGAAUAAGCACCGGCUAACUCUGUGCCAGCUGCCGCUGUAACAC
rnacentral:rRNA from 1 species